UACGGGUGUGGAACGGAAUGAGGGUGAGUAAUUAAUGACAGAAUUUUCAUUUUUGGGUGAACUAACCCUUUGAAGGAUUGCAUCGUUACUUGUUUACUGUUGCUUUAAUUACCUUGAACAAAACUGAAAAACAUUAAGAAAACCUUUGUCUCAAAAUAUACAGAAUGAUUAUAGCAAUUCUCAUUUGCUACUUAAAUCUAACAAUAAAAAAAUAUUAGAUCAACUAUACUCAGAAUCAUCUUUGCUGUCCACGAUCACAUCAAGAUCAAACACAUUUCCACACUCAUCUUUAAAAACGGAUGUUUAGGAAAGCGUUAUGCAGGUUUUUCUGCCAUCUAGUGGUUCAGAGGAGAAUAAAAUCAAAGGCGUUUUUACCCAGUUGUACAUAUAAUACUAAAUGUAAUAAAUAUUGGCGUGAAUUUUUGCUAGUCCUCACAAUGAUUUCACCAGUAUAUUUAUAUAAGCACAUUUUAUCAUGUUAUAUAAGUGGAGAAUAUGUUCUUCAGUUUGGCAAGUACAAGGGCAAGUCCUUCAGGUGGUUAUUGGAGAAUGAUGUUGGCUACACUUUGUACCUGUCCAGUAAGGUUGAUGAAGAAGUACAGGCUCAACCCAGAGGGUCCUUGCAAGGAUAGACGCUUCAAGGAAAUUGAGGAUCUUUAACGGCAUCUGUCUCAAAGGCCAGAUCCAGUGCCAGCCUUGUCAGAGCAAGACAAUAUUGUUGGAUUUGGAACAAGAGCACAAGAUACUUGGAGAAAAGUUUGGGAUACCAGGGCUGAUGGAUAUGCCUCCUUUAUAAUGAGGCAGAAAUGUGUUCCAGGAAGUAAAAUGUAUCUGUUGCAGCAGUAUCUUUUAAAGUAGCAGCAAAACCAACCGCCCAAAAACCCUCCUCUGUUGCCCUCACCAUCAUCUUCCACUGCGAGGCCUCUGGUUCCUUCAAGUACUGCCUCUGAUCAUCCAGUAAUGGAGGAGGAUGAGGAACUGGAGAAGAUGAUGCCAACAAAAUAUCUCCAACAAAAUAUCUCACACAGCCAAAAUAUCUCCAACAAAAUAUCUCACACAGCCGAGUAAGUGAACCAACAAUCAUGUUUGAUAUAUGUAAGUUGCACAUACUUCAGAGAAACUAUUUAAAUUUGAAUGCUUAUUUUUUUAGGAUUGUCUGCAGCCCCUGGAUCCACAGUCGUAUCUAAAAGAAGUUAUUUUCACAUCAGUUUUGGGGGAUUAUUCUGUUAUAGACAGAUUUAUCCUCCAUUUCUGAUUUGAAAUGAUUUUGUUUGUUGUUUUGGCAGUGUUCUUGCCUGUUCUAAAACAUGUUCUUUUGUUCCACUAACUAAUUUUAAGGGAUAAACAUACCAGUGACAAGGGGAGGCAUAAACCACCAGCAACACUCAAAACCAGACCGGCCUGAUGAAUAUAGUGCCAUUGUAUCUCCACGGCCAGGUUGGUGUAUGGAUAUGUACACAUGCCGACUCUACUGUAAGGAUAUGCCUGUUUCUGAUCAGUGUUGUUGUUUUUCACCAAUUCCCUUCACCACAUCUUCUUUGAGACCAGUUCAGGAAACUGUAAUGCUCAUCUAUGACCCAUGUCAUCCAUAUCAACAAACUUCACUGAUUCGUCUGGAACAGAGACAGCACAUCUACCCCUAACUCUUGCCAACCCUCCCGUAUGCUCAACAGACUGGAUUUGAUGACAAAACUGCAGAGCUUGCUGUAAGGCAUCAGGGGCUUGGGUGACUUGGGGAAGAUUAAAGACAUCAGAGCCAUACUGUCAGAAUAACAUUCCCUUAUAAUGUUCAUACCUAAAAUCCCAGGCACACAAGUAUUGGGCGAGGGAGAUUGGGAGCUCUGCAUCACCAAAAUCCCCCGCUUGGGAAUAGCCUUACCCAAAACCUGAACAUCAAGUUCCACAUACCCAAUAUAAAGGAUGUCUAGGCCAUUAGCAGCCUUAAGCUGUAACCAUUGACGGUGGUUUAAGUCGUACCUAUCAGACCGUCACAAUUUUGUUUAUAUAAACGGGGAAAAAUCUAAGAUCACGAUAGUAAACUAUGGAGUGCCGCAAGGAUCGGUGUUAGGCCCUCUGCUAUUUUCAAUCUACAUGCUG